rnacentral:lncRNA from 1 species
AAUUACUUGAGCCUUUAAAAAUUAUGAAAAUUUUAAUAAAUGAAUAUAAUGAUGUAAUCUGGACACUAAAGUGCAGAAAAGUCAUGUGUAACAUCACUUUUAAGUCAAAAAUGGUCAAAUUGCUAUAAUUGACCUGAAAUGGGAAUUUUACACUCAUUUUGGCAAAUUUUACACUUAUUUUGGCAAAAUAAAAAAUGAAGCAACC